AACGAACGCUGGCGGCAGGCUUAACACAUGCAAGUCGAACGCCCCGCAAGGGGAGUGGCAGACGGGUGAGUAACGCGUGGGAAUCUACCGUACCCUACGGAACAACAGUUGGAAACGACUGCUAAUACCGUAUACGCCCUACGGGGGAAAGAUUUAUCGGGGUAUGAUGAGCCCGCGUUGGAUUAGCUAGUUGGUGGGGUAAAGGCCUACCAAGGCGACGAUCCAUAGCUGGUCUGAGAGGAUGAUCAGCCACAUUGGGACUGAGACACGGCCCAAACUCCUACGGGAGGCAGCAGUGGGGAAUAUUGGACAAUGGGCGCAAGCCUGAUCCAGCCAUGCCGCGUGAGUGAUGAAGGUCUUAGGAUUGUAAAGCUCUUUCACCGAUGAAGAUAAUGACGGUAGUCGGAGAAGAAGCCCCGGCUAACUUCGUGCCAGCAGCCGCCGCAG
rnacentral:rRNA from 1 species